UGCUUUGAUGGUGUAAUUUGCGUCUGAUUCUAUGAACAGUGACAGUUGCCUGCUGUCAUAAAGCUGUCGUAGAGAAUUGAUGUGUGUUAAAUUCUGAGCA